ACGGAAGGCAGCAGUGGGGAAUAUUGCACAAUGGGGGAAACCCUGAUGCAGCGACGCCGCGUGAAGGAAGAAGUGUCUCGGUAUGUAAACUUCUAUCAGCAGGGAAGAAAGUGACGGUACCUGACUAAGAAGCCCCGGCUAACUACGUGCCAGCAGCCGCGGUAAUACGUAGGGGGCAAGCGUUAUCCGGAUUUACUGGGUGUAAAGGGAGCGUAGACGGCAAGACAAGUCUGAAGUGAAAGGCAUGGGCUCAACCUGUGGACUGCUUUGGAAACUGCCUUGCUUGAGUGCCGGAGGGGUAAGCGGAAUUCCUAGUGUAGCGGUGAAAUGCGUAGAUAUUAGGAGGAACACCAGUGGCGAAGGCGGCUUACUGGACGGUAACUGACGUUGAGGCUCGAAAGCGUGGGGAGCAAACAGGAUUAGAUACCCUGGUA
rnacentral:rRNA from 1 species